AUCGAUGAAGAACGCAGCGAAAUGCGAUAAGUAAUGCGAAUUGCAGAAUUCAGUGAAUCAUCGAAUCUUUGAACGCACAUUGCGCCCGCUAGUAUUCUGGCGGGCAUGCCUGUCUGAGCGUCAUUUCAACCCUCGCGCCCGGCUCCUGUCGGGUGCGGUGUUGGGGAUCGGCCUGCCGCCUGGCGGUGGGCCGUCCCUGAAAUGGAGUGGCGACCACGCCGUAGCCUCCUCUGCGUAGUAAUCCAAUUCUCGCAGGCGGACAGCGGUGCGGUCAUGCCGUAAAACACCCCAAACUUUACCAAGGUUGACCUCAGAUCAGGUAGGAAUACCCGCUGAACUUAAGCAUAUCAAUAAGCGGAGGAAAAGAAACCAACAGGGAUUGCCUCAGUAACGGCGAGUGAAGCGGCAACAGCUCAAAUUUGAAAUCUGGCUCUCGGGCCCGAGUUGUAAUUUGCAGAGGAUGUUUCUGGCGAGGCGCCUUCCGAGUUCCCUGGAACGGGACGCCAUAGAGGGUGAGAGCCCCGUCCGGUUGGUCGCCAAGCCUCUGUGAAACUCCUUCGACGAGUCGAGUAGUUUGGGAAUGCUGCUCUAAAUGGGAGGUAUACGUCUUCUAAAGCUAAAUAUAGGCCAGAGACCGAUAGCGCACAAGUAGAGUGAUCGAAAGAUGAAAAGCACUUUGAAAAGAGGGUUAAAUAGUACGUGAAAUUGUUGAAAGGGAAGCGUUUAUGACCAGACUUGGGCCGGUUGAUCAUCCAUCGUUCUCGGUGGUGCACUCUGCCGGCUCAGGCCAGCAUCAGUUUGGCCCGGGGGACAAAGGCGUCGGGAAUGUGGCUCCCUAGGGAGUGUUAUAGCCCGUCGCGUAAUACCCUGGGCUAGACUGAGGUUCGCGCUCCGCAAGGAUGCUGGCGUAAUGGUCAUCAGCGACCCGUCUUGAAACACGG
rnacentral:rRNA from 1 species